GACGAACGCUGGCGGCGUGCUUAACACAUGCAAGUCGAACGGAAAGGCCCUGCUUUUGUGGGGUGCUCGAGUGGCGAACGGGUGAGUAACACGUGAGUAACCUGCCCUUGACUUUGGGAUAACUUCAGGAAACUGGGGCUAAUACCGGAUAGGAGCUCCUGCUGCAUGGUGGGGGUUGGAAAGUUUCGGCGGUUGGGGAUGGACUCGCGGCUUAUCAGCUUGUUGGUGAGGUAGUGGCUUACCAAGGCUUUGACGGGUAGCCGGCCUGAGAGGGGGGCCGGCCACAUGGGGACUACGAGACGGCCCAGACGGCUACGGGAGGCAACAGGGGAGAAUAUUGCGGAGUGGCGGGAAGCCAGUGGCAGCGGCGCCGGGUGCGGGAUGACCGGCUAUUGGUGAUGAACAGCUGUGGAAUGUGAUGAGGACGGCGUGACGGUAAUGGAUAAGAAAGCCACGGCUAACUACGUG
rnacentral:rRNA from 1 species